rnacentral:misc_RNA from 1 species
AAGUCGUAACAAGGUCUCCGUUGGUGAACCAGCGGAGGGAUCAUUACUGAGUUAUCCAAAAACUCCCAACCCUAUGUGAACUUACCACUGUUGCCUCGGCGAGCUGCGCUACCCUGUAGUUACUUUUGUAGCGACCUGGGAGCGCGUUAUAGGCUCGCCAGAGGACCACUAAACUCUGUUUUAUUUUGUAUCUCUGAAUCUUACAACUGAAAUCAGUUAAAACUUUCAACAACGGAUCUCUUGGUUCUG